ACGCUCGACACCUACGGGAGACAGCAGUAGGGAAUCUUCCACAAUGGACGCAAGUCUGAUGGAGCAACGCCGCGUGAGUGAAGAAGGUCUUCGGAUCGUAAAACUCUGUUGUUAGAGAAGAACACGAGUGAGAGUAACUGUUCAUUCGAUGACGGUAUCUAACCAGCAAGUCACGGCUAACUACGUGCCAGCAGCUGCGGUAAUCUGAGCGGGCUGGCAAGGC
rnacentral:rRNA from 1 species